rnacentral:rRNA from 1 species
GUAGUUAUGUACCCAGGGGUUCGGAAUAGCCACGGGAAACUGUGGGUAAUGCCGAAUAACAUCUGCGGAUCAAAGGUGUGAUUCCGCCCUUGGAGCAGACUGCGUCCUACUAGCUAGUUGGUGGGGUAAUGGCCCACCAAGGCAACAAUGGGUAGCGGGUGUGAGAGCAUGACCCGUCUCACUGGGACUGAGACACUGCCCAGACACCUACGGGUGGCUGCAGUCGAGAAUCUUCGGCAAUGGGCGAAAGCCUGACCGAGCGACGCCGCGUGCGGGAUGAAGGCCCUCGGGUUGUAAACCGCUGUCGUAGGGGAGGAAGGCUCCGUGAAGAACGGGGUUUGACCUAUCCUAGGAGGAAGUACGGGCUAAGUUCGUGCCAGCAGCCGCGGUAAUACGAACCGUACAAACGUUAUUCGGAAUCACUGGGCUUAAAGGGUGCGUAGGCGGCCAUGUAAGUGAGAUGUGAAAUCCCUCGGCUCAACCGAGGAAGUGCAUUUCAUACUGCAUGGCUU